rnacentral:rRNA from 1 species
UAGGGAAUUUUGGGCAAUGGGCGAAAGCCUGACCCAGCAACGCCGCGUGUGGGAUGAAGGCCCUCGGGUCGUAAACCACUGUCAGGAGGAAAGAAAAGUCGGCCGGAUAAUACUCGGUCGACCUGACGGUACCUCCAAAGGAAGCACCGGCUAACUCCGUGCCAGCAGCCGCGGUAAGACAGAGGCCACGAACGUUGUUCGGAAUCACUGGGCAUAAAGCGCACGUAGGCGGCUAGGUCCGUCCGAUGUGAAAGCCCCCGGCUCAACCGGGGAAUUGCAUCGGAUACAGCCUGGCUUGAGGACGGUUGGGGUGAGUGGAACUCCUGGUGGAGCGGUGAAAUGCGUAGAUAUCAGGAGGAACACCGGUGGCGAAGGCGACAUCCUGGACCAAUUCUGACGCUGAGGAGCGAAAGCCAGGGGAGCAAACGGGAUUAGAUACCCCGGUAGUCCCUGAGCGGGCUGGCAAGGCGCAU